rnacentral:rRNA from 1 species
GAUGAACGCUGGCGGCGUGCCUAAUACAUGCAAGUCGAGCGAACAGACGAGGAGCUUGCUCCUCUGACGUUAGCGGCGGACGGGUGAGUAACACGUGGAUAACCUACCUAUAAGACUGGGAUAACUUCGGGAAACCGGAGCUAAUACCGGAUAAUAUAUUGAACCGCAUUGUUCUAUAGUGAAAUACGGUUUUGCUGUCACUUAUAGAUGGAUCCGCGCCGCAUUAGCUAGUUGGUAAGGUAACGGCUUACCAAGGCAACGAUGCGUAGCCGACCUGAGAGGGUGAUCGGCCACACUGGAACUGAGAAACGGUCCAGACUCCUACGGGAGGCAGAAGUAGGGAAUCUGCCGAAAUGGGAGAAAGCCUGACGGAGCAACGCCGCGUGAGUGAUGAAGGUCUUCGGAUCGUAAAACUCUGUUAUUAGGGAAGAACAAAUGUGUAAGUAACUAUGCACGUCUUGACGGUACCUAAUCAGAAAGCCACGGCUAACUACGUG